rnacentral:lncRNA from 1 species
AUCAUCAUUCAUGAUUUUGUUAUUGAAAAUUAUCUAUUUGAACAAAAUAUAUAACCAUCUGUGCAUUUAUAGACAGUGUUAGUCCUAUUUUUAAUCUACUCAUCCAACUAAUCAAACAUUCUAUUGAUCAGUUGCAUGCUGUUAGUUGUCAAAUUACCUGUUACCUCAGCAGCAGGGGCCUCAUCAUCAUCUGGAGAUGGGAUGAUCCUGCCAGUCAUGGGGCCGACCCCCAGGACUUUGGGCCUCUUAUCAGUCUUGGCUGCACCCUCCAGCACCACGACAAUGUACUCCUUUUUGGGCGCCUCCACAGGUGCCACCACCACAACUGGGACAGCCUCCACUGCAGCUGGGGCCUCUUCCACCGCGGCCUCUUCCACCGCAGCCACUUCUAAGGGUGGAGCCUCUUCUACGGGUGGGGCAGCUGGGGCCUCCUCCACUGCAGCCUCCUCCACUGCAGCUGGGGCCCCCUCCACUGCAGCCUCUUCGAUGAGUUCAGCCUCAAGUGGGGCAGUCGGGGCCUCUUCCACUGCAGCCAGGGCCUCCUCCACUGCAGCCGGGGCCUCCUCCACUGCAGCCUCUUCGAUGAGUUCAGCCUCAAGUGGGGCACCCGGGGCCUCCUCCACUGCAGCAGGGGCCUCCUCCACAGCAGCGUCUUCGAUGAGUUCAGCCUCAAGUGGGGCAGCCGGGGCCUCCUCCACUGCAGCCUCUUCGAUGAGUUCAGCCUCAAGUGGGGCAGCCGGGGCCUCCUCCACUGCAGCCGGGGCCUCCUCCACUGCAGCCGGGGCCUCCUCCACUGCAGCCGGGGCCUCCUCCACUGCAGCCGGGGCCUCCUCCACUGCAGCCUCUUCGAUGAGUUCAGCCUCAAGUGGGGCAGCCGGGGCCUCCUCCACUGCAGCCGGGGCCUCCUCCACUGCAGCCGGGGCCUCCUCCACUGCAGCCGGGGCCUCCUCCACUGCAGCCGGGGCCUCUUCUAUGGGUGCAGCCUCAAGUGGGGCAGCUGGGGGCUCCUCCACUGCAGCUGGGGCCUCUUCUGCGGGUGCAGCCUCAAGUGGGGCAGCUGUGGCCUCCUCCAUUGUAGCUGUGGCCUCCUCCACUGUAGCUGGGGCCUCCUCCACUGCAGCUGGGGCCUCCACUGGGGCAACCUCCUCGACUUCUUCUACAAUAGGCACAACCACUUCUUUGACCACUUCAGCGACUGUUGUCACCUCCAAAGCAGAGGCUGCUGCCAGAAUGACUGGUUCCACUGCAAAACAGAACCCAGCGCCCAAACAUCACUCACGCUCAUGUUACAAAAAGACUGACUCACAAUUUAUCUCCAACUCAAUCAACAUAGCACAUAUGCACCCAGUGUGACAGGAGAAAGGAGAUCCAGGAAAAUAUAGUGAGUUAGACAUGCCAACGUGAACAUUGUAGAAGUCUGUGUACAAAUCCCAAGAGAUGGUGAAAGACGCAUUCUUGUUUAAAUAGUGCAGUUUGACCAAAACCCUUACUGUAUCAGCCCACACUGUGUGGGUUAGGGAAAAUACACAGACCAACACGUAGCCAUUAGCCAGACAGAGGUCACAGGGAGAAGACAGACAAGGCAGCUUUCCAUGGAAAAACAUGACAUUAGUUAGAAAAAAACUAAGAUUUGUACAGACAUAGGUGUUAGCUUGUGCUUCUUCAGAUAAAAAGGCAAUCCGAAUGUGUUGAGACUACUUUUAGGUCAUCCUUGCAUUUUUGUUGCGUUUGCAUCAACAUUGUACAGACCAAGGUGUACUUUAACCAUGCAUUGACCUCUACUGCAUGCAUCACUUGCUCCCCAAAAGUCUCAUAUCUAAAAGUUCAGCUGGACCAGUCAUUAAAACCUCUAUUGUUGCACAUUUUGGUGAAUGAUGCAAAGCAGAAAUGCAUUGGACCAAUGCCGACUGUCAGGCUAUGGCAAGAAUGUACCCACCAGAGCAUUGAGUGACCGCAAAAUAAUGGGUGGUUUUGAGAGAGUUAGGAUGGAGCCAACUGGUGCAGAACUUCAACAUACAGGGUAGCAGUGGCAUGGGUGUAGAUGGCAGGCAUAGAAAAAAAGGCGCGGUGACAGGAAAAGCAUUGAAUGGAAGAGGGUACAGGAAGCAGUAGAAGUAAUGAAGGAACAGUGUGUGGAAUAGCAGUUAACUGUACAUGACAAUUCCCCAUAUGGUGCAUGUGUGCAACACAAAAUGCCUUUAAGUGUGAACGAGUCAUUUCUAAUGUGAAUAGAAGACAUUCCAAAAUAAGUAAUCAGAACAUACAGCAAAGACAGUACUUCUGCAUGUUGUCCAAAAUCCUUCAUAAAAAAAAGAGGCCACCUCAAAUAAAAUAAAAUGCCUUCCUGCCAAAUAUCACAAAGGAACACACACCAAAUGGGAUAAUGGUUUGAUUUCAAACAUUGGUCUUGACAUUUUUUCACAACUAGGGAGCUUUUCUGAUAUGUGUCCUGGGCUAAAGUAAAUCAUUUGUUGACUCAUGGGGCAACAGUGCAGAGGUGAAUGAACUCUAGUGUCAGUGUGGUGGAUUUAUCCCUAGGUUCUCCAUGGUAUAACUAGCAUAAUAUUAGAUCAGAAGUGUCUUGUCAUUUGUCCUCGUGAUGGAAACCAUUGUUGUUUUGGAAAGACUUUGUAGGGCACCCGAAAACCCUACAAGCGUAGCGUAUUAGCACAAGCAAACCAAACCCAGACAAAUUCAACACGGGAGGGGGAUCUUUCCAGUCAUUUUAUUGUAUGGCUCGAUGAAUUCCCUUAAUCAAUUACACGACUACUCACUGCGUUAGCUAGUUAAAAAAAGAGCAAAUCUGAAUGACCACACUUGGUUGAUUUCCUCACAUUUUAACCUUGCGAGGUAAUUACCUCCAAGUUCCAGUUUUACAGUUAAGAAUGAAAAUACAUGGCAACAGUUUGUUUUGUUACAGUUACAGAGCUUGGACAGGUUUCAGCAUUGUCUGUACUAGCAGAAGCCAUCACACGGCUGCAUGAGAUGUACAGCGGGUUAGGUUAAACAAAGUUAACGUUACAUCGGCAUGUACCAACUCCGUGAUAUCUGGCAGAGAAGCAUAAGUUAAGAGGCUUAAAAAUGUACAGUUGUCAAUGUAAUAUCUCCCAAAUAAAGCCUGAGUAUUAGCGGUUGGUUGGCCGUGGACUGGUCUUACACAUUACAAACAAAAUAAGAUAAUCAAAUGGCGCAUUCGAGGUGUUUUCCUGUUUGUGUUUGCAUGCGGCAUCGGACCUCUGAGGUAAGGCAGGGGAGAGGUUAAAGGGCAUUGAUACGUGCGGUCAGUGGAGCUUUGUAAACAGUGUUUGAGAAGAAGAAGGGAGAGAGGGAAGGGGUGAAUAAAGAUAGUUUAGAGGAGGAAAUAAGCAGGUUUCUCGUCACAUUUCACUAUGGGGGGGGGAACAGUGAUUUGCACUAUUGUGUAUUUCUAUCCUUACUGUGAUAUGAGGUUGAGAUGGAUGACAUCACUGCCACUUUCUAAAAGGUCUCACAGCGGUGAUCGUCUGCUGUUCUGAUUGAAUUCACUGGUAAAAGCUGUUUUAGCACUUUUACCAUCUGCUGGACUCACAACAAAUAUACUGUACACAGUCAGGAGAUUUUGAACGACAGAAAAUCAAACCUCACAAAAACCUUGAACCUUGAAAACUCUGUCUUCUAGCUUUUCACACUUUCACUUACAAAAUCAGCCAUACCAUUAGUUACUCUCUGCCCUCUAAGUAAACUCUAAUAAACUAGUAAAUAAAGUGUUCUCUUCGAGAGAAUAAGCAGUAUAGCUCUACAGUGGUUUUAGAACCAGGUGAGAUCAGUGUUAGAUUCUGUAGUGGUAUUCUAUAGGUAAGGAACAGUGUACACAUAACCUCCAUGUUGUUGCUGGCCUAUCGGAGUGUGUGUUGGGCUGGUGGUGAAGGACAGUGUGUGCCUCCCUGUGGUGUGUGUGCGUUACUCAGCAGCAACAGCAGCCUCUGGGGCUGCCUCCUCCUCUGGGCCCGUACCGUUGAUCUCCUCCUCCGGCUCUGCCACGGCAACUGCCUCCUCAGCAGCCUCUUCCACGGCCACUUCCUCUGCUGCUGUCUCCACUUCAUUUGCCACCUCGACGACCUCUUCUGCGACCUCAGCAACAGCCUCUGCAAUCUCCUCCACCACAGUCUCCGCUUCCGCUGGUGCCACCUCGGCCUCUACUGCUGCUGCCUCCCCAGCAGGUUCUUCAGAGACUGCCUCGGCUGCUGCUUCUGCCUCGACUGAGGCCUCUUCCGCGGGUUCUGCUCCGUUUUCCGCCGCUACAGCCUCCUCAACUGCAGCCUCCUCUCCAGCCUCUUCUGCUGCUGCCGCCUCCUCCUCCUCUCCUCCCUCCUCAGCAGCCUCCGUUGCUUCAUCCUCUCCUCCCCAGGCUGCUGCUUCCUCACCUGAAACAAAAGAGAGAGAGAGAGAGAGAGAGAGAGAGAGAGAGAGAGAGAGAGAGAGAGAGAGAGAGAGAGAGAGAGAGAGAGAGAGAGAGAGAGAAAAAUAUAUGAAUCAGUAAAGAUGGCAUCAGCCUUUGAAACACUGCCUGAGUAAGCUUUACAACACGAAAUAAGAGUAUUUGCAGGGCAUGUGAAUUACCCUACUCACGCCCACAUAACACUAGCCUAUAAUAUAACAGAAUAUUCCGAUGAAGUACUAUUUCUAUGUUUUUAUCUUAAAUCAUCUUUACAUUCAUUACUUAUCAUUUAGCUGCCGUGUACACAACCACACACUGAAACAAUCACACAACGCAUCACACACGCCCAUGCCACUCAUCUUACCACACCUCCGGCUCAUACCACACUCCACCUGGAAGGGGCAAACAAAUCCCUACAGAAGAGAAUUCACUGCAGAACCACAUGCAAAGCCCAAAGAGACAGAGAGAAAAGGAGGGGAGAGAGGGAUAAAAACAACAAAGGGAGAGGAGCAAAAUGAAAGUGACAUAGGGAAGGUAUACAGGAUCAGGGGUUAGAGGUCAGAGGGUGGACUGAGGGGUGAGGGGAUAAAGAUGGUGAAUCUUACCAUCCAAUCAAAGCUACCAAUACCUGGAAAUUCCAACAAUAACAGACAAGCCAGGUGGUUGGUGUGCAUUUCAUUUUAAAUUGAGGCAGUCUGUCUUUUUACACAUUUAUCCAUUAACAUGAUUCCAUCCUGGAAGACGCCACAAAAACAUGAGUUCAUCAAAUAAAAAAAUACAUAGAACGAAGUGUCCAGAGGAGAAACGUUCAGAAACAGACAAUAGUUGAAUGUAUGGGACGUAGCAGGACUUGUUCGGUCAUACAGGAGAAGGAGGAAAGUAGGAGAUUUCCCCCUUUUCAGAUUCAUCCAAAGAGUCCCCUGACGUAUAGCCAAUUUAGUUUUACACUGAAAAGAGUAAAAAUAGGAGAGCGUUAGCGCAAAAAGGAGGAAGAGAACCUUUAACUUUUAACCCAAAAAAGGACUUCAAAUCAGAUUACAAUUUCAACAUUAUCAAAUACGCAAAUUUAACAUCAAAGACUAUGAUCAUCAAAUCCCUACAGGCUUAUCUCAUCAAAAUGACUGCGCUGAUAAUGCACUGAUAAUGCCAACAGUGAAUUAGCAUUCUGGGUUUAAAGGGGCACUAAGAUGACAUCACCUGUUUCCGUUUGACGAGUGGCGUCAGUGUGCACAUUGAGUUUGGUAGGGAAUAAAGACUCUUUAAUAAAGAGGUACAGGUUUACAAGAGGUUGGGGGGGGGGGUUAACAGUGAGAGAAGAGGGUUUGAAGGGUGGGCACAUUUUGGGGUGGAUCGUACAGUAGGAAAGGAGUAGUGUCAAGGAGGGGAGCCCCCUGUUCUGAUUAACAGGUAUUUCAGCCAAUAGGACCAGGUUAGGGUCAGACGGGAGAAGCUGGGUGGGGUGGGGCCAGAAAGGAGAGGCUGGGUUUCCUACUUUCAGAACCACUCCGAUAAAAAUGUCUAUAUCAAAGUCAUCAACAGGAGUAGGCCAUCUAGAGUUUACCAUCUAGAGAAAGCAAGACAUUGUGUACAGGGAACAGGUCCUCCCAAAUAUUACCGUCAAUAGAAGGUUUUCCACCAACUACAUGCUUUAGGUCCCCUAACAAUAUUUUCUGCCAAUGACAGAAAGCUAAGACAUUGGGUUGUGAAACUUCCAAAACUAAGUCCAGAAAAUCAGAGCACAGAACCUGUUCUUGACCCGACAUCUUAUCCGGGUGUCAAUUUAAAUAAAUGGGUAAUCUGUCUCAGACCGUUAUGCCAGUUCUACUAUGCAUAAAUAGAACGCAUUUAAGGCCAGAAGUUUGGAAGCACACAUUGCUGAUAAAUUGGCUGAAAAAUUUAGCAGAUGAGGCAAAUGGCUCAGGCAGUUAUUAACCAGAACAGGGAGAUCUCAGAGUGGGCGUAAGAAUCUAUGUGAUUGGUGCUCUGCAUUGACUAACCAAUGAGGAUUUAGGAACCCUACAAUGAGUGGAGACAUCAUUACUAACUAUACUGUAGAUUAUCAUCAUGGCAUUUCACAGCAUUAGGCUCAAUCAUUGAAAUGCAAUACAUGAAGACUCCACUCAUUUCAGAGCCCAUGAAUCCGCUCCUUUUCCCCACCAUUGGUCCUCAGAAUUCUGUGAAAUGCAGUUUUGUGAAUGUAUCUAGAGAAAAAUCUAGGUGUGAGUGCACCAAUAGAGAAACAUACAUUUCAAGGCAAUCAGUGAGAGAAUAAUCAAAUCCAUGCCAAGGUACCCUUAGUCUAAGACAAAGUUUCAUUGGUCAUUCAGGAAGAGAGUCAUUUAACAGGCUGUGAGUUAUUAUAAAAAUGAAAGACAUUAGCCAGUAGAGCCACACAUAGGCACUCACCCUCCUCUUCCUCAUCCCUGCCUGAAAACAGACACAGAGAAGCACAGUGUCACAGAUUUACAGGGUUUUAUAUGGAUUAUAUACUGAACAAAAAUAUAAAUGCAACAUGUAAAGUGUUGGUCCCAUGUUUCAUGAGCUGAAAUAAAAUCCAUUUGCACAAAAAGCUUAUUUAUCUCAAAUUUGUUUACAUCUCUUAGUGAGCAUUUCUCUUUUGCCAAGAUAAUCCAUCCACUUGACAGGUGUGGCAUAUCAAGAUGAUUAAACAGCAUGAUCAUUACACAGGUGCACCUUGUGCUGGUGACAAUAAAAGGCCUUGCUCCCCAGUGGGUGGGCCUACGCCCUCCCAGGCCCACCCAUGGCUGCACCCCUGCCCAGUCACGUUAAAUCCAUAGAUUAGGGCCUAAUGAAUUUAUUUAAACUGACUGAUUUCCUUAUAUGAACUGUAACUCAGUGAAAUCGUUGAAAUUGAUGUGUUUAUAUUUUUGUUCAGUAUAAUAUAGGCUAUGGAGUAUAUGGAUUAGAGAUCUACACAAUGAUCCUGCUGCAUGUAAACUCAGCAAAAAAAGAAACGGCCCUUUUUCAGGACCCUGUCUUUCAAAGAUAAUUCGUAAAAAUACAAAUAACUUCAGAGAUCUUCAUUGUAAAGGGUUUAAACACUGUUUCCCAUGCUUGUUCAAUGAACCAUAAACAAUUAAUGAACAUGCACCUGUGGAACGGUCGUUAAGACACUAACAACUUACAGACGGUAGGCAAUUAAGGUCACAGUUAUGAACACUUAGGACACUAAAGAGGCCUUUGUACUGACUCUGAAUAAUACCAAAAGUAAGAUGCUCAGGGUCCCUGCUCAUCUGCUUGAACGUGCCUUAGACAUGCUGCAAGGAGGCAUGAGUACUGCAGAUGUGGCCAGGGCAAUAAAUUGCAAUGUCCGUACUGUGAGACGCCUAAAACAGCGCUACAGGGAGACAGGAUGGGCAGCUGAUCGUCCUCGCAUUGGCAGACCACGUGUAACAACACCUGCACAGGAUCGGUACAUCUAAACGUCACACCUGCGGGACAGGUACAGAAUGGCAACAACAACUGCGGAACGCACAAUCCCUCCAUCAGUGCUCAGACUGUCCGCAAUAGGCUGAGAGAGGCUGGACUGAGGGCUUGUAGGCCUGUUGUAAGGCAGGUCCUCACCAGACAUCACCGGCAACAACGUCGCCUAUGGGCACAAACCUACCUUCGCUGGACCAGACAGGACUGACAAAAAGUGCUCUUCACUGAAGAGUCGCGGUUUUGUCUCACCAGGGGUGAUCGUCAGAUUCGCGUUUAUCGUCGAAGGAAUGAGCGUUACACCGAGGCCUGUACUCUGGAGCGGGAUCGAUUUGGAGGUGGAGGGUCCGUCAUGGUCUGGGGCGGUGUGUCACAGCAUCAUAGGACUGAGCUUGUUGUCAUUGCAGGCAAUCUCAACGCUGUGCGUUCCAGGGAAGACAUCCUCCUCCCUCAUGUGGUACCCUUCCUGCAGGCUCAUCCUGACAUGACCCUCCAGCAUGACAAUCCCACCAGCCAUACUGCUUGUUCUGUGCAUGAUUUCCUGCAAGACAGGAAUGUUAGUGUUCUGCCAUGGCCAGCGAAGAGCCUGGAUCUCAAUCCCAUUGAGCACGUCUGGGACCUGUUGGAUCGGAGGGUGAGGGCUAGGGCCAUUCCCCCGAGAAAUGUCCGGAAACUUGCAGGUGCCUUGGUGGAAGAGUGUGGUAAAAUCUCACAGCAAGAACUGUCAAAUCUGGUGCAGUCCAUGAGGAGGAGAUGCACUGCAGUACUUAAUGCAGCUGGUGGCCACACCAGAUACUGACUGUUACUUUUGAUUUUGACCCCCCCUUUGUUCAGGGACACAUUAUUCCAUUUCUGUUAGUCACAUGUCUGUGGAACUUGUUCAGUUUAUGUCUCAGUUGUGGAAUCUUGUUAUGUUCAUACAAAUAUUUACAUAUGUUAAGUUUGCUGAAAAUAAACGCAGUUGACAGUGAGAGGACUUUUUCUAUUUUUGUUGAGUUUAUAUGAAUGAGGUUGUCAUAGUAUAUCUGUCUGAUCUGUACUCAGUUAUGAUAUUGGCAUGGUGUUUUAUUGUCCCCCACGAUGAAAUCAGGGAGGGGACUGUGGAUCUGUCUCCAUACGUCCGUCCGUUCGUCAGUCACAUGUGAUAUCUCAGACAGCACUGGGCCGAUUUGGACGAAACUUGGGUGAAUGAUGAGUCUUGCCAUAGAGAUCCGUCAUUUACAAAAUUACACUGAUUGGCCCAAGUCGGGAGCUAUAGUAAUUAACUGAAAUGUGUUAGUCACACGCAAUCUCAAUUGGCCCCAUGGGGGGGCGCUGCAUCAUUCGUGGGGGACGACAUGUUUAUUGUUGCCUUGUUUAUCUUUUCACACGUGUAUGAGCGUGCAUGAGCGUUUAUGGGUGAGAUAGCCGUGCGCUUAUGUGAUGAUAUCUGUGUAGUUGGAGUUUAUCGUCAUGGUGAAGCCUGCCAAAAUAAACAUCCAUUACAGGUGGACAAUAAAAGCUAGUUAUAUAUCUAAUCUCGUGUUUAUACAGCACCAGUAGAACGAUAUGGUCCUCCCCCAGUUUCAAUAAAUAACCAACUCCCUGGCCACUGUUGGAUGACAUAAUAGCUGCAAGCAUAAAUAGAAUAGUCUUGGACAGGAGAGUGUUUUUGUUAGCAGGAAGUGAUUUUGGCAGAGAGGAAAAGGAGUGAUAGUGGGAUACGCAGGUCUCCGACAGCUGCCUGGACACUGGACAGCAAUGACUUGGUUCGGCCAGAGAACGUGAGGGGGGCUGGCCUGCUUGGCUAGAAGUCCAUGGUGGUCUGGCCAAAACUACUGAUCGCUUGUUAUUUUCACACACACACUGUUGUGUUCUCCUGUAGAUUGGGCUGGGUUGUCCUGACCCGCGGGCUGGCCUGUCCGUGUCAGAGUUAAUAAUACAUCAUGACAGGAGACACCCUCAGUAUGUGUGUGUGUCUAUUCUAAUGAACUCAGCAGGAUUUCCACUGCAGAAGGAAGGCUCUCUCAGAUGAGAAAAUAGGACACACACACUGAAUAGCCAUGUUACAGCUUUAGGAGCAUGAGCGUGUGCGUGUGGUCCUUCAGUGACACUCCUCGGACAUAGUGAAAUAAGUCAAGGAUUAUCCUGGCCUCCUGUCCCACAAUCUCUAGCUUGGAUCACAUCCCGCUUUCUCUCACACACAGACAGGACAGAGCUACUGUGCCAACCAUGACUCACGAAUAGAGGGCUUAGGCCACUGUACUGAGCGGGGGGGGUUGGCAGCUGGUGGGAGUGUAGCAGGUUUGUAUUUUUUAUGCGUCAGUUGAAAAUGCAUUGCAACAGUGGACAAUGAAUAGUUACAGUUGAAGUCGGAAGGUUACAUACACUUCGGUUGGAGUCAUUAAAACUCGUUUUUCAAUCACUCCACAAAUUUCUUGUUAACAAACUGUAGUUUUGGCAAAUCGGUUAGGACAUCUACUUUGUACAUGACACAAGUAAUUUUUCCAACAAUUGUUUAGACAGAUUACUUCACUUAUAUUUCACUGUAUCACAAUUCCAGUGGGUCAGAAGUUUACAUACACUAAAUUGACUGUGCCUUUAAACAGCUUGGAAAAUUCCAGAAAAUUAUGUCAUGGCUUUAGAAGCGUCUGAUAGGAUAAUUGACAUCAUUUGAGUCAAUUGGAGGUGUACCUGUGGAUGUAUUUCAAGGCCUACCUUCAAACUCAGUGCCUCUUUGGUUGACAUCAUGGGAAAAUCAAAAGAAAUCAGCCAAGACCUCAGAAAACAAAUUGUAGACAUCCACAAGUCUGGUUCAUCAUUGGGAGCAAUUUCUAAAUGCCUGAAGGUACCACGUUCAUCUGCACAAACAAUAGUACGCAAGUAUAAACACCAUGGGACCACGCAGCCGUCAUACCGCUCAGGAAGGAGACACUUUCUGUCUCCUAGAGAUGAACGUACUUUGGUGCAAAAAGUGCAAAUAAAUCCCAGAACAACAGCAAAGGACCAUGUGAAGAUGCUGGAGGAAACAGGUACAAAAGUAUCUAUAUCCAAAGUAAAAUUAGUCCUAUAUCGACAUAACCUGAAAGGCCUCUCAGCAAGGAAGAAGCCACUGCUCUAAAACCGCCAUAAAAAAGCCAGACUACGGUUUGCAACUGCACAUGGGGACAAAGAUCGUACUUUUUGGAGAAAUGUCCUCUGGUCGGAUGAAACAAAAAUAGAACUGUUUGGCCAUAAUGACCAUUGUUAUGUUUGGAGGAAAAAGGGGGAGGCUUGCAAGCCGAAGAACACCAUCCCAACCAUGAAACACGGGGGUGGCAGCAUCAUGUUGUGGGGGUGCUUUGCUGCAGGAGGGACUGGUGCACUUCACAAAAUAGAUGGCAUCAUGGGGAAUGAAAAUUAUGUGGAUAUAUUGAAGCAACAUCUCAAGACAUCAGUCAGGAAGUUAAAGCUUGGUCGCAAAUGGGUAUUCCAAAUGGACAAUGACCCCAAGAAUACUUCCAAAGUUGUGGCAAAAUGGCUUAAGGACAACAAAGUCAAGGUAUUGGAGUGGCCAUCACAAAGCCCUGACCUCAUCCUAUCGAACAUUUGUGGGCAGAACUGAAAAAGCGUGUGCGAGCAAGGAGGCCUACAAACCUGACACAGUUACACCAGCUCUGUCAGGAGAAUUGUCACAUGUGAUAUCUCAGACAGCACUGGGCCGAUUUGGACGAAACUUGGGUGAAUGAUGAGUCUUGCCAUAGAGAUCCGUCAUUUACAAAAUUACACUGAUUGGCCCAAGUCGGGAGCUAUAGUAAUUAACUGAAAUGUGUUAGUCACACGCAAUCUCAAUUGGCCCCAUGGGGGGGCGCUGCAUCAUUCGUGGGGGACGACAUGUUUAUUGUUGCCUUGUGGAAGGCUACCCGAAACAUUUGAUCCAAGUUAAACAAUUUAAAGGCAAUGCUACCAAAUAUUAAAUCAGUGUAUGUAAACUUCUGACCCACUGGGAAUGUGAUGAAAGAAAUAAAAGCUGAAAUAAAUCAUUCUCUCUACUAUUACUCUGACAUUUCACAUUCUUAAAAUAAAGUAGUGAUCCUAACUGACCUAAAACAGGGAAUUUUUACUUGGAUUAAAUGUCAGGAAUUGUGAAAAAGUUUAAAUGUAUUUGGCUAAGGUGUAUGUAAACUUCCGACUUCAACUGUAUUUACAGUGAGUGUGUCACAGUCCUUAGCGCCAGGACCAAACCCAAACCGUGUCUUAUCCAACAACCUGUCAUGACAUGAUGGGUUAGUUGAGAUUGGGAGGUAAGAUGGUGGGUGAGAUUGUGAGGUAAAAUGGUGGGUGAGGUUGUGCGGUAAGACGGUGGGUGAGGUUGUGCGGUAAGACGGUGGAUGAGGUUGUGCGGUAGACGGUGGCUGAGGUUGUGCGGUAAGAUGGUGGGUGAGGUUGUGCAGUAAGAUGGUGGGUGAGGUGAGACUGACUCUUGGGAGGCCAUGGUUUGGGCGACCACACGGUCUUGGGACGAGCGUUGAUAUCCGCUACACGGUCGUUGAAUCUGGCGUGGUCUGUGGUCACAGUGCUGUAUGUCUGUUGGAAGAAACACAAAGAACAUUUUAAACGCUCAAAAUAGUAAUAUCUUCACCUCUACCAGAGAAAUCUAUAAAAUUAUUUUGGAGGGCAACUUUAGCCAUGUCGACCUCCCAGGUGGCGCAGUGUUCUAAGGCACUGAAUUGUAGUUUUAGCUGUGCCACUAGAGAUUCUGGAUUCGAGUCCAGGCUCUGUCGCAGCCCGGGUGCGACUGGGAGACCCAUGGGGCGGCGCACAAUUGGCGCAGCGUCACCCGGGUUAGGGGAGGGUUUGGCCGGCAGGGAUGUCCUUGUCCCAUCGCGCACUAGCGACUCCUGUGGCGGGCUGGGCGCAGUGCACGCUGACGCAGUCACCAGGUGCACAGUGUUUCCUCCCACACAUUGGUGCGGCUGGCUUCAAGGUUAAGUGAGUGCGGCUUGGUUGUGUUUCGGAGGACGCACGGCUCUUGACCUUCGCCUCUCCCGAGUCCAUACGGGAUUUGCAGCGAUGAGACAAGACAGUAACUACCAAUUGGAUACCACGAAAUUGGGGUGAAAAACAAUACAUUUUUUAAAAAAGACCUAAAAUAAUAAUAAUAACUUUAGCCAUGUCACAUAAUAAAAUAGAACGCAUUCUAGAGUUGUAAAAGGUUUAUGAAAUAGGCCAGUCUGGUAUUAUAGUUUAUCUCUAAACUACGUCAUCUGAACUCAGACAGAUCAAACUAAAAUGGCCAGGCGUAGACUCACGUAUGCGAUGGCUCCAGCGAAGGCCCCGCCACACAGCAGGGCGUAGACAAUGUUAUCACCAGUACCACCGGGGACUGACGACAUUUGUCGCCGUGGCAACACUGCUAAAAAAAAUAAAAAAUCAUAGCACAACUCACCCAGCCUUCAGAGUGGUCAUCAGUGAGAAGGAAACAUGGUAGAUGUAAACAGGAUAUUCGACAUUUGAUCUUGAUCCCGCCCUAUAACCCUGACUCCCCAUUAGAUUGACGUAGACCUAAUGCAUCAAAACAAUCCUCAGAAAGAGUGAGACGGAAGCGUGAGGACAGAGGCUUUGUUGAAGCACAAUCCCUGGCUGUUUAUUGGAUUGGGUGGAAUGCGUUUAGGUGUCCAGGAAUGUGCCUGUCAGAGCUCAUUUGCCUCCAACUGAAAUAGACUUCAGUGGUCCUCUGGUAGACCUUCAACCAGAGUUACACUGGGCAACUUUUUCAAUAGACUAUUGUAAAAUAAAAUAAAGUAAAAUACAAGUUCAAUCAAAUUCUACCUAAAGUAAUUUUCCUAGCAGGUCAGUGCAAUAGCAACAUUCAAAAGCAGGUGAAAUGACCCACCACCAGUAUUCACGUUUUUUUUUUAAAUCACUCUCUCCAGACGCAUAUUUUUUUGAUGAUACUCCGCACAAGGUGGUGCUGUGUCAUUUGACGUACUUCUUUCACUUUGAUUGUGUUUUCCCUGAGUGCCAUUACAUCAGCAGGAAAACACUGCAGCCAGGCACUUUGUUAACAACUUCAAGACUUGGACCAUAGUCACAGAUUCCUGCUAAUGCUGUUGUAGGUCAGUGCCAUGCCCUCACUGCAGACAGGCACACAAAAACUAGACACGCACAACACACAAAGACGGACACAAUCGUACGCACACACUUACUACACAACAAGCACGCACGUCUAGAACACAGACAGACAUCAAACACAUGACAGAAGUCUACUGUACGGACAGACUGUCACAGAAACAGACUUCCGGCUUUGCCACAGUACUAAUAAAUCUGUCAAGUAGCUACAGUUGAGAAA